rnacentral:rRNA from 1 species
UACGUAGGGCGCAAGCGUUAUCCGGAAUUAUUGGGCGUAAAGAGCUCGUAGGCGGUUUGUUGCGUCGGCUGUGAAAUCCCGAGGCUCAACCUCGGGUCUGCAGUCGAUACGAGCAAACUAGAGUGUCGCAGGGGAGACUGGAAUUCCUGGUGUAGCGGUGAAAUGCGCAGAUAUCAGGAGGAACACCGGUGGCGAAGGCGGGUCUCUGGGCAACAACUGACGCUGAGGAGCGAAAGCGUGGGGAGCGAACAGG